ensembl:misc_RNA Metazoa_SRP Metazoan signal recognition particle RNA
GCCUAUAGUCCUAGCUCCUAAAGAGGCUGAGACAAGAGGGUUGCAAGAUGCCAGGAGUUCUAGGCUGCAGUGUGCUAUUCCAAUCUGUUGUCCACACUAAGUUCAGCAUCAAUAUGGUGACCUUCCAGGAGCAGAGGACCAGCAAGUUGCCUAAGGAGGGGUGAAUUGGCCCAGGGUAGAAACAGAGCAGGUCGAAACUCCCAUGCUUGAGGUGGGAUCACUCCUAUGAAUGGCCACUGCAUUCCAGCCUGGACAGUAUAGCAAGACCUCAUCUCU